CCGGGUUCUAAGGCCGGAUCCAGAGAGCCGUUGGGAGACGGUUGGGCGUGGCAACGGACGCUAUCCGAAGGUCACGCCCACUCCGGACUAGGGGGCGGGGCUUCCUAACGGAAGCUCACAUGCCAAGUCCUGGAACACCGGCUCUUCCUGCUAACUGCUUUGGGGUUGCGGAAUGGUAAGACCCUCCACCGGAUGAGGACCUCUAGCUUUGAGGAAUCAGAGGAUUGGAGCGGCCAUAGGGACACUAAGAAGGGCAGCGGUUGUCUGCGUUGAGACCCGUGCGGCGAGUAGCUCGGAGAAUCUAGGCGCAGCCGUCGCCGCUGCAGAGGCCCCAGGCGCGGAUCUGCAGGGCAGUGAGUGUCCCCAUGUGACCCGCGCGCUGCUGGGACCUAAGGGCACGUAUGGGAGCUGCCGCCUCCGCCGAGGGCUCGAGUCUGCAAGGCAUGCGCGACGCUGACACCUUGGCUGUGCAUCCACGAGGGGCUGGAACUCAAGAAGAAGCACCGCUCUUUUUUUUUUUUUUUUAAUUCUUUUUUUCGGAGCUGGGGACCGAACCCAGGGCCUUGCGUUGAAGCACCGCUCUUGUAGCCCUCCUGAGAGGCGAACUGGAGGUGGCCAGUCUUUGUCUGCACAACAGGAUGCGGAACCAUCGCUCAGCAUCGUCCCCUCCGCAUUCGGAGCGGACGGAACGAUCCCUGCUUUGCACCCCAGCCACUGGAAAACAGGAACGCCUCACCGAGGAGGAAGGGAAGCGCCAAGGUCACCGUGAGUUUUAGGUCAAACCAAGAAACGAAGGAUAUCAAGUAUAAGGGCUGUGGUCUCCGGCAGGUGGAGUGGGAGGGCGGGCUCCGAGUUUAGCGCACUGUAUUACAGUGGCUUCGGGAGAAAUAACUUUCGUUUUGUGUCGUAACCUUAAAAAUCCAGACAUGAAACGGAAGGGAAACAGGUAAUGAAAAUCACAUGUACUCCUGAGAGCUGCGGGACACCUGUUAAUUUUAAUUUGUUAUACUUCUAGGGAGUGCUGGAGGGAGGUGGGGAACCAGGCAUUUUUUUCCAACGCUCGGGAGGCUGGAGGGUUUCUGGAGUUCAGGCCAGCUUGGUCUACACAGUGAGUUCCAGACUAGUUCUCUCCCACCCAUCCACCCAGAAAAUAAAAGCAUGGCUGGUUUCUUGAUUCUUUAUGUGACAGAGAACUUUUCAUUACACCAGUACAAUGAACACGAACAAAUACACUCUCUCCCUGGCACGUGUUUGGAGUUCAUGGUCCAAAUUGGAAAGCAGCCCAUUUUGAAGACUCACUUCUCACCAGAUAAGCAAAAUAAACAAGGUCAUCCAUCAACAUUGGCUCCUAGUUCGGUGCUUUUCAGCAGGGUUUAUGAAGCCUGAACUGGUCUCAAACGUUUUGUUCCUAUCAGUGUCUCCCUGGUGCAGGGUUUCGUGUAUGCCAACUUACUGUCUUUUAUUACUUAAUAGUUGAUUUUGGUUUUUUCCUCCCCUUAUAUAGGAUCUCACUGUGGCUGGCCUGGAUCUCACUAUUCAGUUCUGGCUAGUUUGAAACUUGCUAUGGAGACCAGGCUAGCCUCAAACUCACAGAGAUCCACCUGAGUCUGCUGCCCAAGAGCUGGAAUUAAGUGCAUCAUCCUGCCCUGCAGACCUGCUAUCCUGUUUAUUCAGUGGUAGAGUAUGCCUUUUAUCAGAACAAGUAUAGAUUAAGCUGGCAAGUAGUUUUGCAUGGAUCAAAUCAGGAAAACAUCUUGGACAGUAUUCAAUUUACCUGUUGACUUUGCUAUUUUAGAUUUCUCCCCAGAUUUUGAGACUAUAUGUAGUCUAGGCAAGCCUUGAAACUUUUUCUUUUUUGAUAUUAAUGUUUUGCCUGUAGUAUAUCUGUGCACCUAUGUGUACCUAGUGUCUACAGAGGCCAGAAGUAGUUGUCAGGUCCCUGGAGCUAGAAUUAUAUACAGUUGUGAGUACAUACUGGGGAUUGAAUCUUGGUCCUUCUUGGACAACAAGUGCUCUUAACUGCUGCCUCAUCUCACAGCUCUGGCCUUGAGCUCCUCAUGCUGCCUCCACCUCCUCAAGCACUAGAAUUACAGGCACGCACCACCCACCAGACCUGGCACUUCUCUUUUUCUCCCCUUUAAGAUUUAUUUAUUAUCUAUAAGUAAACUGUCCCUGUCUUCAGACACACCAGAAGAGGGCAUCAGAUCCCAUUAUAAGUGGUUGUGAGCCACCAUGUGGUUGCUGGGAAUUGAACUCAGGACCUCUGGAAGAACAGACAGUGCUCUUAACCGCUGAGCCAUCUCUCCAGCCUCUCAUUUUAUUUUCUUCAUGGUUAAUUUCUAUGCUUAGCAAUAGCCGGGGUUGGGGAUUUAGCUCAGUGGUAGAGCGCUUGCCUAGCAAACGCCAGGCCCUGGGCAAGCGCUCUGCCACUGAGCCAAAUCCCCAACCCCUAAAUAAAUUUUUUUAAAAAGGAUAUAGAGCAAGGGAUAGGAAAAAUGACUCAGCAGUUAAGAGUUCUUAAAAAAAAAAAUUAAGGGAUUUGCAAAGAAAGCAGCUGGAGCAGACAAAUGCAUUCACAGCACAGGAAUCAGUCCAUGGCAGCGCUGUCAGAGCAGAAGUCAGCAGUAAGCUAGGUGAGUAUCAGACGUAGAAACAAAUAGGACACCUAGGGCUGCAGUGAACUGUCACUCAACACCAGUGAGAACUCGGCUUCUUUAGAAAAGCAAAACGAAAGGCAGAAAUACUACAAGAGUAUGUUUUCAUUUUAAUCCGAGGUAUAGGGUUGCUUCAGACUGUGCUUCAGGGGUGUGCGUCCGACCAGCCACAGGGGCCGACUAUGAUUUGCCUCAUGUUCUGGCAGAAGCAUCAUUUUUGCCAGCUACAGAUAGUGUCUGCAGUUGUGUGGGUUUUGAAUUCUGGGGGCUUUUCAGAGGGGGUGUAAGUGCUAGGGCCUCAGAGGGGUAGAUGGUUGGUUGGUAGGCUGGUGCUUUGUUUGCUGUUGGUUGUGGUUUCUUAAGUAGUUGUGUGCAAAGAAGAAAUUAGAUAUCCUGACUGUGAAGAUCAAACUUGCCCCCAGGAACUCAGCACCCUUAAUAAGCAGGAAGUAGUGACAUGCUUCCAGAAAGACAGCCUCCUGAGCCUACCCAAACAGCACCCGGAAUCAGGGACCAAAUGCUCAAACAUCUUUUAAGAAGCCAUUGUCGGGGUUGGGGAUUUGGCUCAGUGGUAGAGCACUUGCCUAGCAAGCGCAAGACCCUGGGUUCGGUCCCCAGCUCCGAAAAAAAGAAAAAAAAAAAGCCAUUGUCAUUCAAACCACCACAUUCCACUUGACUCCAUAACCAUAGCAAACUGCAGUCUACAUUCAGAUCAAAAGUUCCCAUAGUCUUUCUCAGUCUCAACACUGCUCAAAAGCCCACAGACGCUUCUGAGACUCAAAACAAUCUCUUAAUUGUAAUCGCCUGUAAAAUCAAAAGGCAAAUUACACAGUUCUCACAUACAGUGGCACAGAAUAUAUUACCAUUCCAAAAAGAAGGAAUGGGGGCUUGGUGAAAAACGACUAAAAGACCAAAAGCAACACGUGAGCUCUAAAGCCUGUGUGUAGUUCUAUGUCUGAUGUCAGUGGCUGAGAUGGCUCUGUGUGUCCAGCCUCGCUGCCCUGCAGCACAGAACUCAGGAUGGUUUCAUUUCCUGUGUGCGGCGCUCCUUGGCGGGUGUCCCAUGAAUCUGGCAUCUCCCAUAGCUUGGAAUUUUCAGUGCAGCCCAGACUUCACUUUCACAGCUUCACACAGUGAAUUAAGGACUUCAAACAGGAAUUCCCCUGCCACAGGCUACCUUUGCCUUGCAGAAAGAGAGCUUACCUGGGUGGAUUUGCUUGGGGGACCUCAUUCCCUUUGUUCUCUUGGGCAGAGCAGGCCUGUCCUUCCUGGUGCUGAUCUCAGUUCCAGCCUUCUGUGUAAUACUAAGCCUCCAGGGUCUUUUCCUUCUCUUCAAUAUAUACAUGUUAUGUUUGUUUCUGUCUCAUUGCCCCUUCUCAUUGAAGACCUACAUAAGCAUUGGCAACAAUAACCAUAGACUCAACAUAUGUUUGGAAUUCCUCCACCAAAGAAAUGUUAACCUCUGCUUUUAAGUUUAGACUCAGGCAAGUUCUCCAGACAAGGGCAGAAGGCAAGCACAUCCUCUGCCAAAGCCGUCCAGGGAUGACGCCUGCCUAGUCGCCACUGCUGUUCCCUCUGAGACCUUUGGAGCUGGGCCGUCACAGCCCACAUUGCUCGCUGGACUACGGUGAUCUUUAUACUUUCUUUCAGGGGUCAAGGGGUCAACUGCUACCUUUAGUCCGGAAUUACUAAGUCUUCCACGCUCUUCAAAAAAACAAGGUCAGGUCUAUUACAGCAACAGCCCACACUCUAGUUCUAACUUCUUCUUCUUCUUCUUCUUCUUUUUUUUUUUUUUUUUGUGGCUGUUUUGUUUUGUUUUUUCAAGACAGAGUUUCACUGUGUGGCCAUGGCUGUCCUGGAAUUUGUUCUGUAGACCAGCCUCAGAGAUCUCAGAGAGCUGCCUGCCUCUGCCUUCCUCCCAAAUGCUGGGACUAAAAGCAUACACUGCCACCACCCAGCUACCAACUUCCUAGUUACUUUUCUGUUGCUGUGAUUAAACACCAUGACUAAGCCAUGCCACUGUGGUGCACAACAUCAAUCCCAGCAAGUAGAUGAAUAAGUUCAAGGCCAGCCUGGUCUAAGUUUGAGGACAGCUGGAACGGGGUUCUCUAGAGUCACAGAGGUGAGGAUUCCAUUAUACGUGUAAAGGGAAUUCGUUGGAAUGACUCACAGGUUGCAGUCGAGCUCGUCCAACAACAGCCAGCUGUGGAUGGAAAGUCCAGGAAUCCAGUAGUUACUCCAUCCCACAAGGCCGGGUCUCCCAUCUGCUCUUCUGUAUCUGCUGGACCUGGAGAAGUAGGCUCCAGUGUUAGUAAAGGAAUGGAUGUGCUAAAAAGGCAAGAACAAGCAGGCAAAGAGCAAAAGCUUCUUUCUUCUGUGUCCCUAUAUGAGCUUCCAGCAGAAGGUGUUGCCCAGGUUAAAGAUGUGUGUCUUCCCACCUCAAGAUUCAGAUCAAAAAACCUGUCUUCUCUCUUCAGAGGUGCAGACUAUCUGUCAUAGGUGUACCCUCCAUUUCUGGAUGUCAGGUUGACAACCAAGAAUAGUGUCACAACUAAGGCUACGAUGAGAAACCCUGCCUAAAACAAAAAACACCAGGACUAAAAGUGACUUCUGGAAGGAAGAAUUUUCUGGCUCCAAUGCUACUUCUUCAUGAGACCACACCCCCAAACCUUUCCAAACAUCUCAACCAACUGGGGACCAAGUGUUAAAUGCCUGAGUCUAUGUGGUCUCAUUCAAGGCAGCACAGAAGCCCCAGCUGCAGUUAAUCCAUUUCUCCAGCCUCACAAGGUCUGAAACUACAGGCCUGCACUACUACAGGCCUGGCUGUUUGUUGAGUGUGUGGGGCAUUUUUUUGAGGGAUGGUCUCACCACCUAGGCUAGCCUAUAAUAAGCAUUAAAUGUCAUCAAGGAGAGACCUGCUCCACCCUGGAAAAAAGGGAAGGGUUCCCUCAGAGCAGGACUCCCUAAGGGGUUUUCUGGCACAAGGGUAUCCUGGCAGUUGGGAACCAAGAAAUACCACAAAGUCACACCACACAGCAAACCUCACAGAAGAUUUAUGGAGAGAGACAGAACGGUGAUUGCCUCUGGGUGGAACAGCUACAGCAGAGGGCAGGGUGCAGGGGAAGGGUUCUCUAGGCUUUAGGAACAUGCACAGUGCAUGAAGAAGUAGAAAAGUACAGAGCUGUCCUAAGCAUUGUUCGAUGUUAAUGCUGAACCCCAAGGAAAGGGAUUUCCUAGUCUCAGGAGCCGGGGUCAAGCCAGGGGCAGGCUAUUCCUCCCUUUUAUGUUUGGUAUUGAUAACUAACCAGGAAUCAGGAAAGAGGACAUUAUCAUUAAACUACUUCCUGCUCUGUGGGGUUUUAAGUCCAGGGGGUGAGCAUGAUCUUCACCAUCAGAGCAUGCUCAAGGGUUAUAGGUCUCUGGCCCCUACAGUUUGGUGGAGAAGCGGGGUUAGGGAGGGUAGUAUCCAGUUCCAUACAGGAUCACCAGUGAUCAUCCAUCAGCCAGAGGCGUGGAGCUGUUCUUUAUUUAAUUUUUGGACAUCUGGCGUUGUCAGAUCUUGGCAUUACUGUAGCUAACAGACUGACACGGAAACAGCACUCCCCCUUAGGAGGCGGCAAAGGCCACUUCUCUUCACUGUUGGUAGAUCUAAUCCUCAUCGAUUUUCUAAUGGUUUUUAAGUUGUUUGCAUGGGAGCUGGAGAGAUGGCUCAGUGGUUAAGAGCGCUGACUGCUCUUCCAGAGGUCCUGAAUUCAGUUCCCAGCAACCACAUGUGUAAUGGGAUCCAAUGCCCUCUUCUGGUGUCUGAGGACAGUGACAGUGUGCUCCCCUACAUUAAAUAAAUAAAUAAAUCUUUCAAAAAAGAAAGUUGUUUGCAUGGAAACAAAUUUCUUAAAGUCAGACAAUAGCUUAUGUGUCCUGCAAAAAGCAGGUCAAGUACCCUAUCAUGUUGCAGAACGUUGUAAGUGAAUGAAUCUACCUAUUGAUGGAUUUGGGUCUAUUUGGUUUUAACAGACACCUUUUCU
ensembl:lncRNA